rnacentral:rRNA from 1 species
AGGGCACGAACCGGAUAGAUACCCGGGUAGUCCUAGCGUAAACGAUACUCGCUAGGUGUCGGCCACGGUGCGACCGUAGUCGGUGCCGUAGGGAAGCCGUGAAGCGAGCCACCUGGGAAGUACGGCCGCAAGGCUGAAACUUAAAGGAAUCGGCGGGGGAGCACCACAACGCGUGGAGCUUGCGGUUUAAUUGGAUUCAACGCCGGAAAUCUUACCGGGACCGACAGCAAUAUGAAGGCCAGGCUGAAGACUUUGCCGGAUUAGCUGAGAGGUGGUGCAUGGCCGUCGUCAGUUCGUACUGUGAAGCAUCCUGUUAAGUCAGGCAACGAGCGAGACCCACGCCCACAGUUGCCAGCGUACUCUCUGGGGUGACGGGUACACUGUGGGGACCGCCGCUGCUAAAGCGGAGGAAGGAAUGGGCAACGGUAGGUCAGUAUGCCCCGAAUAUCCCGGGCUACACGCGAGCUACAAUGGUUGGUACAAUGGGUAUCUACCCCGAAAGGGGACGGGAAUCUCCUAAAACCAAUCUUAGUUCGGAUUGAGGGCUGCAACUCGCCCUCAUGAAGCUGGAAUCCGUAGUAAUCGCGUUUCAACAGAACGCGGUGAAUACGUCCCUGCUCCUUGCACACACCGCCCGUCAAACCACCCGAGUAGGGUCUGAAUGAGAGCGCUUUCUUUGGGGGCGUUCGAAUUUGGGCUUUGCAAGGGGGGUU